CAUUUUUUAACUCAUCAAUCCUCACCUAUAACAAUUGAUUUUUCUCCUUAUAAUCAUGAAUAUGCUAUGCUAUUAUCUUCUUAUACCAUUUAUAUUGAAGAAAGGUAUAAGAAGAUAAUAGCAGAGCGUGUUAAGGAUUAUAAGGAGAAAACUAAUUUUUUAUAUGAGAGAAUUGAUGAGUUAAAGAAUGAGAAAAGUGAUAUACAGGAUUAUUAUAAGAAAAAAUUCAAUGAGUUAAUUAGUAGAGUUUCUCGUUUAGAAGAAGAAAUGGGGGAAAAUUAUUAGGUGGAGUUUAACUCAACUGACAAUUGUUAUGGUAAAUCAAGAAAUGAAGCUAUUGCAGUCAUGACAAUUGUUAUGUUGAUGGCCUAGGUGGACUAAUCUUAGGGAUUUGCUCUAGGGAUUGGUAACAUAAACUUGAAUCCAACCAAAAAAGGCUGCCCUGGUGACCAGAGUUUUCAGUAUGAGCUUAUUUUCUGCAUAUGUUAAAGUGGAUUACGACGAACAAAAGGAAAAUGAUCAUUCUGAAUAACAGGUUCGGAUGCUAAGGUUUCCAACCGUGCAUAGACAGAUUCAAUUUCAGCCAGCAGUAUCAGCUUUAGUUAUGAGUCCUUAUCUAUCGAGGAAAUUCUUUUAUUUCAUUAUUAUAGUAGAUUCAGUAUUUCAGUAGAUUAAGUUAAUUGGGGGAUUAUCCCAUCAACUCCACGUUCAGACAGUUCAGUGUAGAGGCUUUUCAGACUAGUUUUUAGACAACAUUCAAUUUUACUCAUGUUAUUCAGUUGAUAUAUUUUAUCAGUAUUUUAGAUGUUUUGAACCUUAUGGCAUUUAGCCUAUUAUUUUGCAU